AUAGAUCCGCUUCAAAUCAAGAUCAAUUUUUGCAUUUAUCAAUUAGUUUCAGUGAUCAUUCUAGUAAUUAUUACGCACUACAUGGGAAUAGAGUUGAAUUAAAUUCUACUUUACACACAUUUAAUAGUUGCUUUUGUUAUUCAAUGCACAAAACUUAUUCUACAAAACCAGUUCAUUCGGCCAACAUACA